rnacentral:rRNA from 1 species
AUUGAACGCUGGCGGCAGGCUUAACACAUGCAAGUCGAGCGGUAGAGGGGAGCUUGCUUCCCUUGAGAGCGGCGGACGGGUGAGUAAUGCCUAGGAAUCUGCCUGGUAGUGGGGGACAACGUUCGGAAACGGACGCUAAUACCGCAUACGUCCUACGGGAGAAAGUGGGGGAUCUUCGGACCUUCCGCUAUCAGAUGAGCCUAGGUCGGAUUAGCUAGUUGGUAGGGUAAAGGCCUACCAAGGCGACGAUCCGUAACGGUGCUGAGAGGAUGAUCAGUCACACUGGAACUGAGACACGGUCCAGACUCCUACGGGAGGCAGCAGUGGGGAAUAUUGGACAAUGGGCGCAAGCCUGAUCCAGCCAUGCCGCGUGUGUGAAGAAGGUCUUCGGAUUGUAAAGCACUUUAAGUUGGGAGGAAGUUCAGUAAGUUAAUACCUUGUUGAAUUGACGUUACCGACAGAAUAAGCACCGGUUAACUCUGUGCCAGCAGCCGCAGUAAGAC